rnacentral:rRNA from 1 species
CCCAGACUCCUACGGGAGGCAGCAGUGGGGAAUAUUGGACAAUGGGGGGAACCCUGAUCCAGCGACGCCGCGUGAGUGAAGAAGUAUCUCGGUAUGUAAAGCUCUAUCAGCAGGGAAGAAAGAAAUGACGGUACCUGACUAAGAAGCCCCGGCUAACUACGUGCCAGCAGCCGCGGUAAUACGUAGGGGGCAAGCGUUAUCCGGAUUUACUGGGUGUAAAGGGAGCGUAGACGGCGAUGCAAGUCUGAAGUGAAAGGCGGGGGCCCAACCCCCGGACUGCUUUGGAAACUGUAUGGCUGGAGUGCAGGAGAGGGAAGUGGAAUUCCUAGUGUAGCGGUGAAAUGCGUAGAUAUUAGGAGGAACACCAGUGGCGAAGGCGGCUUACUGGACGGUAACUGACGUUGAGGCUCGAAAGCGUGGGGAGAAAACAGGAUUAGAUACCCCCGUAGUA